rnacentral:rRNA from 1 species
ACGAACGCUGGCGGCGUGCUUAACACAUGCAAGUCGAACGUGAUUUUUGUGGAAAUUCUUUCGGGAAUGGAAAUGAAAUGAAAGUGGCGAACGGGUGAGUAACACGUGAGCAACCUACCUUACACAGGGGGAUAGCCGUUGGAAACGACGAUUAAUACCGCAUGAGACCACAGAAUCGCAUGAUAUAGGGGUCAAAGAUUUAUCGGUGUAAGAAGGGCUCGCGUCUGAUUAGCUAGUUGGAAGGGUAAAGGCCUACCAAGGCGACGAUCAGUAGCCGGUCUGAGAGGAUGAACGGCCACAUUGGAACUGAGACACGGUCCAAACUCCUACGGGAGGCAGCAGUGGGGAAUAUUGCACAAUGGGGGGAACCCUGAUGCAGCGACGCCGCGUGAGCGAAGAAGGUUUUCGAAUCGUAAAGCUCUGUCCUAUGAGAAGAUAAUGACGGUAGCAGAGGAGGAAGCCCCGGCUAAAUACGUG